UACAACUCUUCAGGACACUGGUGGUGUG
rnacentral:piRNA from 1 species